rfam:Chelonia mydas contig273820, whole genome shotgun sequence.
CAUGGUGUAAUGGCUAGCACUCUGGACUCUGAAUCCAGUGAUCCGACUUCAAAGCUCGGUG